rnacentral:rRNA from 1 species
UACGUAGGGGGCAAGCGUUAUCCGGAUUUAUUGGGUUUAAAGGGUGCGUAGGCGGGUCUUUAAGUCGGGGGUGAAAUCCUGGAGCUCAACUCCAGAACUGCCUUCGAUACUGAAAGACUUGAGUCCGGGAGAGGUGAGUGGAACUGCGAGUGUAGAGGUGAAAUUCGUAGAUAUUCGCAAGAACACCAGUGGCGAAGGCGGCUCACUGGCCCGGUACUGACGCUGAGGUGCGAAAGCGUGGGGAGCAAACAGG